AGGCGGCAGCUAUUAUUUGCUUUCUUCCACCUCCUCUUCCGCCCUCUUUCUCUUUCUCCUAAUUCCCUUCCACCCUCUUCCUCAAACCUCCAGCUCCAUUUGGGAAGGCGAAGCUCCUGUGGCAGCCUUGGUCAUCAGGCUCCUGUAGGGCUGGAGCCGACCAUCCCCCAGCUCUCCCACCCUUCUCUUCCCCAGCCCCAACCCCGAGAGCUCCCCACGCGGCUGGUGAUCUCUUAUCUCUCUUGGUUUUCAGAGGUCCCCCUAGUACUUUGUAGAUGUGCAGGGUGACUUAGAUGAUUGUAACUAACAUUUCUGACCUCCCCCCCACCCCCCUAUCUCCUUCUCUUCAUCCUCCGGCCCUUGGAAGGACCUCCCACCCCACUGCCAUCCCUGCAGUUAUGGGGUUGUAGGAAAUCAUUCAAAAGCCAGAUAUGAAGAAGAAAGUCGGUAUUUCCCAAAGGCCUGGUCCUGUUCCCUUGGGAAAGGCACUGUCAACAAAUGAAGUCAGUGCUUUACCAUGUCCUCCUCACCAAAUUUCACUUAUUUUGGAAAAAUGAAUCCAUGUCUAGCACUGAACACCUCAACUGCCAGGCUGAAAUCACACAAACACCAAUGUCUACCUCCUUCAGAAAUAAACUGGUAAUAAAGAAAUAAACCCUCAUCAUGGCUUAAACGACUGGCCAUAGCUCUGCAACUGACUCCCCCCUGAUCCCAGGGAGAUGGCUGUUUCUUUGCCUUACCUUCAACCCUAAAAGGAACAGAAAGUGUAGCGAGGGAAGUUACAAAGUGCAAGAAAACUGCAAAGAAUUUGAUUGAUAGCCCUCAAGCCUCAGAAUUCUCCAAGAGCUGACUGGGUCAGAGUUCCAAGCUGAUAGGAUAGUAUAGGACUUAGGAAUAUAGAUUUGAUAUAAUUUAAUAUAAGCAUAUAGCAGUUAGAAAGCCAUAGUCAGUUACAGGCUAGGAAGAUUCCAUUUUGCUCUCAGCAUAUGGAACACUCCAAAUGUGGGGGCAACGGAACUCUGGGAUUCUAACUGAAUUGGGAGAGAUGUUUAAAUCUGUUAAAUCCCCUGGCAUGUGGACUAAGCAGCCAUCUUGGAAUUUUUUUUUUCUUUAAUUGUGUAUAGCUACAAAGGGAUCACAGUGGAUUACAAGAAGACUAAUUCUAUUGUAUUUACUGGGUUACUAAUGAAUGUAAACAUGUCUGGAGACAUGUUAAAGGAUUUUUUUCUUUGUACUUUGGGAGUGUGCUGUACCUAUCCCAUAUAUUGUUUUCAUCCUGUUCCCUAAAGUAUUUUAUAUGUUUUUGGACUACCAAUGGAUGAAACCCUGCAUGUCGUUUACUGUGCAAA